rnacentral:lncRNA from 1 species
CGACCUCGGCACACCUGUCCACCUGUCCAUCUGCCCACCUCAUGCUGCAGCGCUGGAAUUCACACCAAUGAACCAGUAAGGCAGAGAAGCUUCCUGCAGGAUCUCCCGACCUAGGCACACCUGUCCACCUGUCCAUCUGCCCACCUCAUGCUGCAGCACUGGAAUUCACACCAAUGUGCAAACAGUUGGCAUCACUUUGAAGCCACUCCAAGGUGGCAUCUGCACUUAAUAACAAACACCCUGCAAAAACCGCUGUGCAGCCGUGGGCCUAAGGCUCACUGAUGCAUCUUCCAAUUCAACAUGGCUUCUUGCCUCUGAAAGGAGAGCUAGUCCCUCCUGGAAUUUGUAAGUGUGAAGGCUGUGUUUCAGCUGUCACGUCUGGUGUAUCACUGAUGCCUAUUCCUGUGGCCUUUCCAGUUUCCCAGGGUGAUGCAAAUGAACACCGUGCAGCAGGGAUAUGGAAUGUCAUUCUGGAAGUAGGUGAUAAUUAUGUUCGGUGGCUUGAGAUUGGCAUGAUCUCCGGGAUACGAGUCUGCAGGCCACAUCAGCCAGUCACGUGUGUGGGCAACUCACUUUACCUCGGUGGACCUUUUUCUCUCCCAGAAAACCAUAAGGAUGGAUUGAAGGACUAAAGUCCAACAGUUAAAACUGUUCCUUUUAAUUCUAAAAUCCUCUGAGUGUAUGAACUGCUUCACCUUUGCAUAGAGGACAAGCUUGUGCUCAGGAGGGCCUGAAUUAUUUCAGUUCCCUGAAUGUGCUGGCCCUCCUCAUGCAGGAGCUGCCCCAGGGUUUGUAAACCUUCCCCUACUACCAGGCACCACCACUGCUAUCUGAUGGCCGCACAAAGGAAUGAGUGAACACCGUCAGGAAGACAUUGGUCCUGUGCUCUACGAGAGGGUGUGCCCAACCACCACUGUCCUCUCAGCAUCCUCCAUUGUGACCAACGUCACCAGGGCUGCCCGAGGAAACCCUAAGAGAGGGAGGGGUAUUUUCCGUGAAAACACACCUGGAUGCAGGUCUAGGAAACCAACCCCUGGUCAGAGUAGCCCAAGAGAGAACAGGCCCAUGCCCAGUGCUUUGGUGCAAGCACAGCAGCUGGCCUGAAGAUAAGAGUUAAAUGAAUCCAGCCCCCUGAAAGGAAGGUUGUCUAUGCUACAGAAUCAAAUCAGGAAGAAAGGAAGCUAUUCUCUCACCUAAGGGCAUUGAGAAAGGUACAUGAAUAGUAAUUAUCUAAAAAGAGAUAAUCAACAAGGAGUCAGAAGGGCAAAACCCUGUCUAACUAAUCUACUUCACCUUUACAGCAAGGCUGAAGACUAGGUGGGCAACAGCGCUGCAUGUCAAAGGGUUUACUGUGAUUUCACAAAGCUCCAUAGAAAGCCUCCAAAUGAAGACUGGCAGGCUGGGAAAGUCUCUGAAACCAUGAAGAAAAGGGACUAGUGGAGGAGCUGCCCUCAAGAGAAAGGCAAGAUGUUGAGUUUAGAUGGCCUCAGAAUAUUAAGCACCUAACCUGCUCUGUCAUUUAGGUUAAUUCAUGGAGCCCUAUAUAUAUAUAUAUAUAU